UGAAGCGGCAAAAGCUCAAAUUUGAAAUCUGGCGUCUUCGACGUCCGAGUUGUAAUUUGAAGAAGGCGACUUUGUAGCUGGUCCUUGUCUAUGUUCCUUGGAACAGGACGUCAUAGAGGGUGAGAAUCCCGUGUGGCGAGGAUCCCAGUUAUUUGUAAAGUGCUUUCGACGAGUCGAGUUGUUUGGGAAUGCAGCUCUAAGUGGGUGGUAAAUUCCAUCUAAAGCUAAAUAUUGGCGAGAGACCGAUAGCGAACAAGUACAGUGAUGGAAAGAUGAAAAGAACUUUGAAAAGAGAGUGAAAAAGUACGUGAAAUUGUUGAAAGGGAAGGGCAUUUGAUCAGACAUGGCGUUUGCUUCGGCUUUCGCUGGGCCAGCAUCAGUUUUAGCGGUUGGAUAAAUCCUCGGGAAUGUGGCUCUGCUUCGGUAGAGUGUUAUAGCCCGUGGGAAUACAGCCAGCUGGGACUGAGGAUUGCGACUUUUGUCAAGGAUGCUGGCGUAAUGGUUAAAUGCCGCCCGUCUUGAAACACGGACCA
rnacentral:rRNA from 1 species